AGUCCUGUGGCGCAGUGGUAGCGCGCCGUUCUUAUAAAUGUCACGUGACUUUUAUGGCUCUAGUUAAUUUGAGUGAUGCGGAUGUCGUGGGUUCGACCCCCACCAGGACUA